rnacentral:rRNA from 1 species
UACGAAGGGGGCUAGCGUUGCUCGGAAUCACUGGGCGUAAAGCGCACGUAGGCGGAUCUUUAAGUCAGGGGUGAAAUCCUGGAGCUCAACUCCAGAACUGCCUUUGAUACUGAGGAUCUUGAGUCCGGGAGAGGUGAGUGGAACUCCGAGUGUAGAGGUGAAAUUCGUGGAUAUUCGGAAGAACACCAGUGGCGAAGGCGACUUACUGGACGAUUGUUGACGCUGAGGUGCGAAAGCGUGGGGAGCAAACAGG